rnacentral:snRNA from 1 species
AAACCCGUAAGGCGCAAGGA